UACGUAGGUCCCGAGCGUUGUCCGGAUUUAUUGGGCGUAAAGCGAGCGCAGGUGGUUUAUUAAGUCUGGUGUAAAAGGCGGUGGCUCAACCAUUGUAUGCAUUGGAAACUGGUAGACUUGAGUGCAGGAGAGGAGAGUGGAAUUCCAUGUGUAGCGGUGAAAUGCGUAGAUAUAUGGAGGAACACCGGUAGCGAAAGCGGCUCUCUGGCCUGUAACUGACACUGAGGCUCGAAAGCGUGGGGAGCAAACAGG
rnacentral:rRNA from 1 species